rnacentral:rRNA from 1 species
CAGUAGCCGCGGUAAUACGUAGGGUGCAAGCGUUAAUCGGAAUUACUGGGCGUAAAGCGUGCGUAGGCGGUUUGUUAAGACAGAUGUGAAAUCCCCGGGCUCAACCUGGGAACUGCAUUUGUGACUGGCAAGCUAGAGUGUGGCAGAGGGGGGUGGAAUUCCGCGUGUAGCAGUGAAAUGCGUAGAUAUGCGGAGGAACACCGAUGGCGAAGGCAGCCCCCUGGGCCAAUACUGACGCUCAUGCACGAAAGCGUGGGGAGCAAACAGGAUUAGAUACCCCUGUAGUCCCUGUCUCUUAUAC